rnacentral:rRNA from 1 species
AUAGAGUUUUAUAAAUAAAUUAAUUGAGAUUAUUUAUUAAAUAAAAUUAAAAUUAAGUUGUUUAUUAUAUUGGGGUGAUAGAAAAAUGUAAUUAACUUUUUUUAUAUGUGAAAACAUUUAUAAGUGAUUAUAUGAUCCAAUAUUAUUGAUUAUAAGAAAAAAUUACCUUAGGGAUAACAGCGUAAUUUUUUUUUUUAGUUCAUAUAAGAAAAAGAGUUUGCGACCUCGAUGUUGGAUUAAGAUAAAAUUUAAAUG